UGGGGAAUAUUGGACAAUGGGCGGAAGCCUGAUCCAGCAAUUCCGCGUGGGUGAAGAAGGUCUUCGGAUUGUAAAGCCCUUUCGGCGGGGACGAUGAUGACGGUACCCGCAGAAGAAGCCCCGGCUAACUUCGUGCCAGCAGCCGCGGUAAUACGAAGGGGGCUAGCGUUGCUCGGAAUUACUGGGCGUAAAGGGCGCGUAGGCGGCGAUGUUAGUCAGGCGUGAAAUUCCUGGGGCUCAACCUGGGGACUGCGCUUGAUACGGCAUGGCUUGAGGAUGGAAGAGGCUCGCGGAAUUCCCAGUGUAGAGGUGAAAUUCGUAGAUAUUGGGAAGAACACCGGUGGCGAAGGCGGCGAGCUGGUCCAUUACUGACGCUGAGGCGCGACAGCGUGGGGAGCAAACAGGAUUAGAUACCCUGGUAGUCCACGCCGUAAACGAUGUGCGCUGAAUGUUGGGCGGCCUAGCCGCUCAGUGUCGUAGCCAACGCGGUAAGCGCACCGCCUGGGGAGUAC
rnacentral:rRNA from 1 species